UUUCUGUAAUCUAUCAUUGACUUUUUAUGGAUCUUGAUAUGCUGUUAAGUAUGUUAUUAAAGCUUAAAACAGGAGUGCUUCUGGCUACUAGUCUGUGACUUAUUACAUGAUCUGGGCUUCACACCUUAUCCGGGGAAAUCUCGGAUGUCCAAUAGAGUAUUUAUGUAAUAAUAGGGCAAGGCACAAGAGUUCACUACAUAAAAAUAUAACUGACUGGACGGCAAGUAUAAUGUGGAUUACCAUGGGUGGGAGGGAAUUAACCAUUCACUAAUUGGUGACUACCACAGGCAGCCCUCACCUCAGUAAUACCACUGUUUCCUAUUCAUGUGGGACAUCGACGAUGACACUGGAUCCACAGCUUGACCACUGUCUAGCCGUGCAUGAGUGAAGGUAUUGGUUGAUGAUGGAGGGACCGAGCUUGUAUAGAUACCUGAGCUCGUUGCUUGAACCUUGUUUGAGUUCUGGGCCAAUCAAAGAUUGUGGUCAAUGAACAUGUCUUUUGCUUGAUCUUUAAGGUCUUCACAAAAGGUGAAAUAGGCUCUCAUCUGGACAAUAGCAAAAUUUCCACCAAUCCAUCACACCCACAUACAUCUAUCAAGCCCAGUAGCAUGUAAAAGCCAAAAUUACGGACAUAACAAUGAGAAUUUAAAGUGCGAGCAGUAUGUUAUACUACCAAACAACUAGCAAAUCAAACGACCAAGGGGAGAAGAGAGACGGUGCUCACAACGCUGAGAUGUGAGACUCGUGAAUCUCUUUCCUGAUUUGGGACCUCUGGUCAUUGUUAUCGCCAGCAACUUCUCCAUCGAAGACCACCUCCAUGGCAACCAGGUUCGAACUAUGGCUUCCUUCCGGACUGGUGGACCAAAAGGAGAAGCUGGAUGUGACUAUUAUGGGCUGGCUCAGGGUCGGCAUGUAUAACAUGUGUAGCAAGGUUGUAUGGCCACGCCAAUGACGGUUAUUUCUCAGCGGAAAAGUACAAACAUUACGUACAGUUCACAGUAUUCCACACUUGUUUGUCGCCUUUUUCCUUAUAAUGGGGAGAUUCCAAAGUUGGCUUCACGAGCAUUAUUUGGCAAGGUGGUUGGCAAAUUGUCAACUUCUCCACAUCAUUCAGGGCAGUAAACCGCACAUAUUAGACAUUGAGCAAAAAAUGGAAACCUCUGUUUUCCACCCCCCCACCCCUCUACUUCUGUUUUUUCAUGUUGUUCCUAGCUUGAUAUGGAUGCCAUGUCACACAAAACCUUCUAACACAGAAUGUGGUGGGCGAAACACUUGCCACGUCAGACCAAACCAUGCACAAAUACUUCCCUUCCCUGGAAUGUAAUCAGAUCGGGAAGAAACAUAAUUAGAGUUAAGUGGCGGUGGGAAAAACGUAGGUUUUCAUAUUUUUUUCUCAAAAUCUAAUACGUGCGGUGGGGUCUACUGCCCAGUGGAGAAUGAAGGGGACUGCCACCCACCUCGCCAAAUAACGCUCGGGAAGCCAGCUUUGCAACCUUCACAUUAUAAGGGAAAAGGCGACAAAGUAGUGUGAAGCAGUGUGAAUUGUUCAUAAUGAACUUUUGUACUUUUUCGCUGACAAGUGUCAUUCGCGUGGCCAUACGACCUUGCUCUACAUGUCAUACAUGCCAACCCCUGAGGCAGCCCAUAAUAUUCGCAUCCAGCUUCUCUUGGACCACUAGUCCUGAAGGAAUCCAUAGUUUGAACCUGGGUGCCAUGGAGGUGGUCUUUGUUGGAGGAGGUGCUGGUGGUGCCAAUGACUGGAUGUCCCAAAUCAGGAAACAGACUCGUGAGUCUCACAUGUCAACACUAUGAGAACCGUCUCUCCCCGCCCCCUGGCUGUUCCAUUCGCUAGUUGUUUGCUAGUGUAUCAUCCUGCUCACGCUUCAAAUUCGCAUUGCCAUAUUUGUAAUUUUGGUUUCUACAUGCUCCUGGGCGUCAUAGAUGUAUAUGGAUGUGAUGGAUUGAUGGAAAAUUUUGGUGUUGUCAAGAUGAGAACAUAAUUCACCUUUUGUGAAGUCCUUUAAGAUCAAGCAGAGGACAUGUUCACUGAUCACUGCUUUUGAUUGGAGCUGUGGCUUAUUCUUCUUCAGGAUGUUGCGAUGAUGUUGAUAGCAGGCAUAGCCUUUUCAGGACUUAUUUGCGGAAACAGAAUGUUCCUUUUGCCUUUGUCAAAUAUAGAAAUAUUCUGAUCGAAAAAAAGCUGGUACUUCUAUUUUUGUGUGUUAUGGUUAUUUACUACCAUAUUCUGAAUAAAGAAACGUCAUAUGGUGGGAGGUAUCAUACUACUGGAAGAAGAAUUUUGUGUUGUGAAGGCUUUAUGUUUUCAUACCUGCGUCUGUGCUCUUCGACAUUUAUUUCGUUAUGUCGCUGUUUUAUUUUCUAAAAAUACUGCCAGGCCUAAUACAAACUAAAGCCAGGUAUAAUCACAAAAACAAUUAGAUUUCUGAAAACAAAUCUUCCUCGUCAUUUUUAAUUUAUAGCUUGUUAGACUUCUUCUCUCUCCUAGUUCAUAUUUAUUAACAGUGGAAAGUAUCUAGUGCAAACUAUCAACGACGAUGCGCAGACAUGGAGCAGACUGGGGAUGAAAGGGGUGUACGGGGUUCUCCCUGGGGUUUAGUGUGUGCGUGCUACCGCUUGGACGAGCGAUCCUGUGUGCAUUCAUGUGCACGAAUUUUUCUUUAUCGACCCUAUCUAUCAAUGAAAUGAUACACAAGCCUUCUGCAUAUUUGCGAAAAUAUUUUGAAGUACUCGCCGCAAGUACAACUCAUUCUUCAGUCAACUUUCAUUCCAUUAUUAUGUCUUCUAAAGCAUGGUAUCUAGUAUGCUUUCUGCAUACCUUGUGAAUACUGAUAUUGCAUUUCACAGAAUGGGAGGAAGGUUUAUUUCUUUUAAUGUUCUUUUUCCUUGAGCUGUUGAAAGCAUAUCUAUUUAGGCUGCAAGCUAAAAGAUUUGGUGUGUGUUUUUAUUUUCAGGCUGAUUAUGAUUAUAAGCUGUACAAUAGGUUGCGUUGUUUUUAUCAAAUGUUUGAACUCAGCUGUGAUGUUUCUGCAACGAAUUUGUAGUAGUCAAAUCAUUCAGGCACGGAGUAAUCUUCAGGGGGUGCUAUCUAGUGGUAAUCAAUAGCAACAUAUCCUAUAGGAAAUGAAGAGAAGCCUUGCUGUGAUGACAGGAUUACCGUCCUUCAUGAGAGCAUACUCCAUCAUAUCAUGUCCUUUAUGCCAGCACAGGAGGUUGUACGCACAAGCAUGAUAUCCCGAACAUGCUGUCCAUUAUGGACUUCAGUGCCAUGCCUUGAUAUGGAUAUGUAUCACUUUGAUAUGGACAGAUUAAAGUUCAGCAAGUUUGCAGAAAGUUUGUUUGAGCAGCGGGUUGAAGGCUAUACUGCUUGCCGAUGCAAGAUCUCUCGGGCAUAUCGUGUCUACGUCAGGACAGACUAGACCGUUCCUGCUUUCCAUAGGAAGCUGAGCUCAUCGUUCUUCUACAUAUGGAAUGCAUCUUAGCAUAAGCUUUUGCUCUGGACAUGCGUGGGACUUAAUCUAGCUAGACAUUUGGUUGUUGAAUGUCGUACUGAAUCCCUGCCCUCUGUCCUGACAUGGACCUGUUAGCAUGUACUACUACUUGUGUGUGACUUGUGAGAAACUUGCUCCCAUUUUAUCUUGGCUGAUGGAUGAACAUUGCAACUCAUUCUGUGUUCCUUUUGGUUUCGUGAUGUUAGCUGAACUGGUCAAGCCAGUGCCGGUAA